AGUGAACGCUGGCGGUAGGCCUAACACAUGCAAGUCGAACGGCAGCACAGUAAGAGCUUGCUCUUACGGGUGGCGAGUGGCGGACGGGUGAGGCAUACAUCGGAAUCUACUUUUUCGUGGGGGAUAACGUAGGGACACUUACGCUAAUACCGCAUACGACCUACGGGUGAAAGCAGGGGAUCUUCGGACCUUGCGCGAUUGAAUGAGCCGAUGUCGGAUUAGCUAGUUGGCGGGGUAAAGGCCCACCAAGGCGACGAUCCGUAGCUGGUCUGAGAGGAUGAUCAGCCACACUGGAACUGAGACACGGUCCAGACUCCUACGGGAGGCAGCAGUGGGGAAUAUUGGACAAUGGGCGCAAGCCUGAUCCAGCCAUACCGCGUGGGUGAAGAAGGCCUUCGGGUCGUAAAGCCCUGUUGUUGGGAAAGAAAAGCAGCAGGUGAAUACCCCGCUGUUCUGACGGUACCCAAAGAAUAAGCACCGGCUAACUUCGUG
rnacentral:rRNA from 1 species